ACUUUUAUAGAGCAAAGGGCAUGUGGUUGAGCCUGGCCUACACACAGGGGGCCAAUGAGAUUCCAACACACAGGGAAAACUGCACAGUCAUGCUUGGU